rnacentral:rRNA from 1 species
GGUUAAGCGACUAAGCGUACACGGUGGAUGCCCUGGCAGUCAGAGGCGAUGAAGGACGUGCUAAUCUGCGAUAAGCGCCGGUAAGGUGAUAUGAACCGUUAUAACCGGCGAUUUCCGAAUGGGGAAACCCAGUGUGACUCGUCACACUAUCAUUAACUGAAUCCAUAGGUUAAUGAGGCGAACCGGGGGAACUGAAACAUCUAAGUACCCCGAGGAAAAGAAAUCAACCGAGAUUCCCCCAGUAGCGGCGAGCGAACGGGGAGGAGCCCAGAGCCUGAAUCAGCAUGUGUGUUAGUGGAAGCGUCUGGAAAGGCGCGCGAUACAGGGUGACAGCCCCGUACACAAAAGCGCAUAUGCUGUGAGCUCGAUGAGUAGGGCGGGACACGUGGUAUCCUGUCUGAAUAUGGGGGGACCAUCCUCCAAGGCUAAAUACUCCUGACUGACCGAUAGUGAACCAGUACCGUGAGGGAAAGGCGAAAAGAACCCCGGCGAGGGGAGUGAAAAAGAACCUGAAACCGUGUACGUACAAGCAGUGGGAGCCCCACCACUAAGCCAGUGGUGAACUCCACAUACGCAUCCUUUGCUGAGGAUACGGUUAACGGAGCGAAAGCGACGUUCAACCGCAAAAGAAGCAGAGGGGGCUUAGUGGUGGGGUGACUGCGUACCUUUUGUAUAAUGGGUCAGCGACUUAUAUUCUGUAGCAAGGUUAACCGAAUAGGGGAGCCGGAGGGAAACCGAGUCUUAAC